CCUGCCUCGAUGGAGCCGCCACUUUCGGGUGACUGGAGAAGCAGUUAGCAGCAGCGCCAUAGACUAGCGUCCCCCCACACCUUGGGCACAGAGAGUUUGGGGCUCUAAACAGCUGCUGCUGCGGCAGGAGGGAGCCGAGGGCGCUUGGCUGGGGCUGCUCGCUCGGGUUCUGCCUGUUGUUGCGCGAAAUGGCGGCUGGCGUCUUGCAGGGGCAGCCGCAGCUGGGCAGGGUCGGGAGCUGCCGGGGGAGGUAAAGGGAGAAAACGGGCGCCAUGAUCUCAGCGCUAGGGAAGACUCUGCGGGCAGGGCGUCCCCGAAGAGCUGGCGAAAAGAAAAGCAGGACCAGGCCUGGUUUUCUCCUUCCCGAAUAGUGCCGGGGCUGUGCUGAGAGGAGCGGGAAACGAGCGAGAGGGGAGCAACUCAUGCCUGCCUUUGUAACUGCGUCAGUACAAGAUGGCGCAGGGUGUCCCUGGAGAGGGAAGGGAGUUGCACGUCCGCCGGAGGUCAUGUGACCGCGUUGCAUUCCUGUGGGGUUUGGCUGCGGACCAAGCUGGCUUAGGCGGCGGCGGCGGCUGCCCGGGAGAGCCCGGGCUUCCCUCCCCCUCCUCCUGCACAACGUCGUCGGUCCCGCGCUGGUUCCCUUCCCCCAUCAGCCUUAUGCACGAGGGUGUAGCUGCUGCCGAGGAAGGUUCUCGCUUCUCUCUUUACUCUCCACCCACCUCCAGGGUGUAGCUCCUCUUGGGGGAAGCUUUCCAUUCCGCCCCCUCUCUGCGCAAGGCUUUACCCACCGCCAGGGAAAGUUCCCCCGGUGCUUGCUGGCUCCGCCCGAGCGUGGGAGCCGGGUGCGCUCACGGCAGAGCCGCCCGCUCGGUGCGAAGGCGCUCUGCUCUAAGUUAAGUUGCAGGGGGUUAUGGAGUGGUUCUUACUGGAACAGGCGUUUUAAGUGAUGUCUAAACGACCUCAUUAAAGCUGCUGAGGAAAA